AGCUGACUGGUAUUAAGUUCCUUGGUAGAAGGAUCCAUGGACUCAUGUCCUGCCUUGUCAAGAGGAGGUCUGAGUUCACCUAUUAUGAGGAUGCCCAGCAGGUGGAUAUCUC